rnacentral:rRNA from 1 species
UACGGGAGGCAGCAGUGGGGAAUAUUGCACAAUGGGCGCAAGCCUGAUGCAGCCAUGCCGCGUGUAUGAAGAAGGCCUUCGGGUUGUAAAGUACUUUCAGUCGUGAGGAAGGUGUUAAGGUUAAUAACCUUAGCAAUUGACGUUAGCGACAGAAGAAGCACCGGCUAACUCCGUGCCAGCAGCCGCGGUAAUACGGAGGGUGCGAGCGUUAAUCGGAAUUACUGGGCGUAAAGGGCACGCAGGCGGUUAAUUAAGUUGGAUGUGAAAUCCCGGGCUUAACCUGGGAAUGGCAUUCAAGACUGGUUAGCUAGAGUCUUGUAGAGGGGGUAGAAUUCCAUGUGUAGCGGUGAAAUGCGUAGAGAUGUGGAGGAAUACCGGUGGCGAAGGCGGCCCCUGGGACAAAGACUGACGCUCAUGUGCGAAAGCGUGGGGAGCAAACAGGAUUAGAUACC